rnacentral:rRNA from 1 species
UACGGAGGGUGCAAGCGUUGUCCGGAAUCACUGGGCGUAAAGGGCGCGUAGGCGGCCUGAUAAGUAGGGGGUGAAAUCCUGCGGCUUAACCGCAGGGCUGCCUUCUAAACUGUCAGGCUAGAGCACAGUAGAGGCAGGUGGAAUUCCCGGUGUAGCGGUGGAAUGCGUAGAGAUCGGGAAGAACAUCAGUGGCGAAGGCGGCCUGCUGGGCUGUUGCUGACGCUGAGGCGCGACAGCGUAGGGAGCAAACAGG